rnacentral:lncRNA from 1 species
UUUUCCUUCUCUCUCCGUUUACGUUUCUCCAGCCAUUAUCUGCGCAAGAUUAAGUCAAUACUAGAAGCCAAACAACUUUUAGAUUUUGAUUUUCUAUGGCAGAGAUUUAAUUUUUAAACGGCUCUUUUGAAGACCAAAAUGCCAACUCGUGACCUCUCUGAUUUUGGGAUUCAAACUUCAAAUCAAAACUCAGGUUCCAUCUAUAAAUAUUACCCAAAGUUUUCUGCCAAACACCAAGCUUGGAACACAGGUGAAAACCAGGCUCAAAUCACCAAUAAAAAAAUCUUUCUUGCCUUAAUUUACAUUCAAGUUCUAAAUCUCAAUUUAAUAGUGGAAGAGUAGUUGAUUUGAGCCUCAAAGCCUACAGUUCACUGCCCAACAAGAGGUAAAAAUCGGUCCUUUUCUGAUUUCUCUUUCCUUUAAGUAACAUAAUAAAUAUAUCAUGUAUAUUGUUGGUGUUUCCUUAGGGUAGCAGUCUGUUAAUAUAAAUUUCAGUAGUUAAUAACAUGAUUUCAGGUCCAAUCACUGUUUUUCUUACCUAUAUAUUUGAAUAAAAAAAGUGUCUUCUGAUACUUAUUAAUGCGUCUCUUUUCUGUUUUCACGUGCUAAUAGAAAAAUUCUGACUUUAAGCUUAUUUCAAAAUUUAGAUGCCAUAGGCUUACUAUUUUACUGGUAUGAAUAUUGUGUGAUUCCUCUAAAAUAUGUGUUGGCGAAUGCAGUAAUUUUAUCAUUAAAAUAAAAAGUGAUAUAACAUUUUAAAAAGCAAGUCAAUAGUCUAGCAUAUGCCUAUGAUGUCUUAAGCAUGAAUGAUAAAAGUAAAAUUUGUUGGUUCAUGUUUGUUGAAUAACAUAUAAUUUUUUUGUUCAACAUAUAAUUUUUUUGUUCUCUCCUAUAGAACUUUAAAUAUCAAGUUAAUUUCUGUCAAUAGUCUUAAUAAAGUAUCUACAGACUACUUUAAAAAAUAGAAUUUCUUGGAUGCAUUCUAUUGUCCCGAGUUUCUUGGAACAUUUCAAGUUUAAAAGAUGUUAUAUUAUCAAGAAUUAAGCUUUCUUUUUUAAUUCUUUUUUUUCCUUUCUUUGCAUAUACACUUAGAGCAAAAAAUGGACUCAGCACUACCCCAGCAUGGAGGCACCAUAUACUAUAUCAUCUUUCUUAGAAUGCACCAAAUAGCAAGAAAACAAGCGAAAUUCUUGGAAGCACGUAUGGUGUUAUUCUUCCUUUAAUUCUUCUGUCAUUUAUUUUCUCUAACUUUUGUGAUCGCUAAUUUGCUUGCGUAUUUGGGUAUUAUCUCAAUUUUGGGAUUUAAUCAUCUAGAUUCUUUAUCUAUUAUUUGCAUUAUUUCAAAUGGCAAUGACAGCUAGAAUAAGAGGUUAUAAAAUCAGUAAUAAACUUUAACCCAUUUCCUACUCGCUUAUCUAUUUUUCUAAGUAAGCCACUAUACUUGUAUUCUUCCGAACAAAGUUAAUUUGUUAAGAUGACACUUGUGAAAGCUUGUCAAUUUGUUUACAAUAUUUUUAAAUUUAUAUUUGAUUACAUUAAUAUGAUUUUAACUCACAAUUCUUACGCAUACAUAUUUUUAAAUUCAAAUCAAGCGCUUUUGAAUUCCAUCCUUGUUUAAUCAUUUAUACAUUACACACUUAGCCUUAGUUAUUUUAAGUCCGGUCGGUUAACCAUUUUAAUAUGAAUUCUAAAGGGUGCCUUAAAAACCUUCACUUUAGAUUAAUUGAACUCUUAUCUAUAAUCUUUAGGUUAAGUAGACCAUUAACAGAGUGAUACUUUAAUAAAUUAUUUUAAUCAACACUAGGUGUCCUAAUUCAUCGUUAAAAUAAUUAGGUGUCGACUCUCUUUAAUUAGUUAAACCUCAGAAUUAUCAAUAUGGUAUACUCUAGUUUGACCCAUAUUAAAAUGGGGUCUAACAGAUAGGCUGACCAAGUCAACGUAAUUCAUUCCUGUGGCAGUCUCCUAUUCAUCCAAGCGGUUAGCUGAGAUCUAUAUUCGGGAGAAUGUUCGUCUUCAUGGUGUUCCUGUAUCUAUCAUUUCGGACCGGGAUACGCAGUUUACCUCGCAUUUUUGGAAAGAAGUUCAAUGAGAAUUGGGCACUCAUAUUGAGUUCAGUACAACAUUUCACCCUCAGAUGGACGGGCAGUCCGAGCGAACUAUUCAGAUUUUGGAGGAUAUGCUUCGAGCUUGUGUUAUUAACUUUAGAGGUUCUUGGGAUCAAUUUCUUGCCUUUAGUAGAGUUUGCCUACAACAGCAGCUAACAUUCGAGCAUCCAGAUGGCACCUUAUGAGGAUAUAUAUGGUAGGUGGUGUCGAGCUCAGAUUAGAUGGUUUGAGCCGGGGGAGGCUCGGUUGUUGGGUACAGAUCUGGUUCAGGAGGCUUUGGACAAGGUCAGGAUCAUUUAGGAUAGGCUUCGCACAGCUCAGUCCAGGCAUAUAGACCGCAAGGUUCGAGAUGUGGCUUUUAUGGUUGGUAAGCGGGUAUUGCUCCGAGUAUUGCCUAUGAAGGGUGUGAUGAGAUUUGGUAAGAAUGGAAAUCUUAGACCUAGGUUCAUUGGUCCAUUUGAGAUUCUUGAUCGAGUGGGAAAGGUGGCUUAUAGACUUGCAUUUCCACCGAGCUUAUCGGCCGUGCAUCUAGUGUUCCAUGUGUCCAUGCUUCGGAAGUAUCACGUCAAUCCAUCCCACGUGAUAGAUUUCAGCACUGUCCAAUUGGACAUGGACUUAUCAUACAAGGAAGAGCAUGUAGCCAUUCUAGAAAGGCAGAUUCGUUACCUGAGGUAGAGUUUUCCUUCUGUUCGUGUUCAGUGGAAAGGUCAGCCCCCUGAGGCAUCGGCCUGGGAGUGCAAGUCUGAUAUGCGGAGCCAUUAUCUUCAUCUUUUCCCUGACUCAUGUACUUCCUUCUUCUGUCCGUUCGAGGACAAACGGUUGUUUAAAAGGUGGAGAAUGUGACGAUCCAAAUGGUCAUCGCUUACUCUUGAUUGAAUAUUGUGUCCCUGAGGUCUUGAAAAUCUCAUUAUUCAUCAUCUCGAUCUGCAUGCGCAGUCCCCACGCGUAUCGGAAAGCUUAAAUAUGAAAAUUUGUGAAAAAUGCUAAGUUUUGGCUAAAAAUGAGUAAAUUUGACUUCGAUCAAUAUUUUGGGUAAACGAACCCGGACCCAUGAUCUGACGGUCCCAGAGAGUUCGCUAAAAAUAUGAGACUUCGGUAUAUGCCCGAAAUCGAAUUCCGAAAUUCCAAGCCAGAGAAAUGAAUUUUAAGUAAAAUUAUUUUCUGAAAUUGUUUAACAAAAUUUGAAAUUAAACCUAAUUAGAACACGAUGGUAUCGGGCCUGUAUUUUGGUUUCGGUACCGGUACAAGUCGUAUAUAUGGUUUGAGUCAUUUUUGUAAAAUUAGGUUGAAAUUGAACGUCGUUUGACGUGAUUCAGACCUAAAUUUUUAAAUUUGAUAAUUGAUGAAGCGUGAGAAAGGUCCUUCGAUUUUGAGGUUUGAUUCAUCGUUAUUGAAGUUAUUUUGCGAUUUGAUCGCACGGAUAAGUUUGUAUGAUGUUGUUGAGUUAGUACCUAUGUUUUCUUAAGAUCCCCAAGGGAUCGGGUGUGUUUCGGAAAGUUUUGAAAUUAAGAAAAGUUGCAAAAAUAGUUGUUCUAGUGUACUGGUAUUUCCUUCUUCGCGUUCGCGGAAUGGCCCUCGUGAACGCGAUGUGUAAUUUGUUGCUGAAGGAAUUUCCUUCUAUGCAAACACGUAGCCCAGGUCGCGAACGCGAGGCAGUAGUGGGCUAUACCUUCGCGAACGCGGUCCUGGCCACGUGAACGCGAAGGCCAAGUGGGCCUGGGUAGGGGGUAGAGUAGUUGUCCUACGCGAACGCGACCCGCUGGACGCGAACGCGAGGGCUCGAGAAGCUAAAGCUUUGCGAAUGCGAGCCCAUUUUUGCGAACGCGAAGGCUUAGAUAGCCUGACCCAUUGCGAAAGCGAAGGGUCUGUCGCGAUCGCAUAGAGUAAAUUCGCCCAAUUAAAUUUUAAAAUUUCAGAAGAGAAGCCUUAUGGGAUUUCAUAAAAUUUUCAUAAAACCUUUCUUCUCCAAAGCUCUUAGGAAAUUUGAAUCAUUCCUUCACAAUACUCUUGGGUAAGUAAUCUUCAACUUGUUUUCUUCCAUUUUCAUCAACAUCUAUUAGAUUUCUAGGCCUAAAACAUGUGAUUAAGGGUAGAAAAUUAAGGAUUUGGGUAGAGUUUGGGCUUUUUGAUUAAUUGGCAUUUAGACCUCGUUUUGGGGUCUAAUUCUAGAAAUAAAUAUAUGUUUGGGCUCGUGGGUGAACGGGUAAUUUGAUUUUGGUCUGAAUCUCGUAUUUUGACCAAGCGGGCCCGUGAUCAAUUUUUUGGUUUUUGGGAAGAAUGAUUAUUAAGCUAUAAUUAAGCAAUUGAAUUGGAUUGUUUAGCAUUUAUUGAUGUUAUUAAAUCGAUUUUGCAUAGAUACGAUUGUGUUGGAACCAAAUUCGAAAGGAAAAGUGGUAACUGAGGAUUGAGUUGGCAGUGAAAGUUUGAGGUAAGUGUAUGUUCUAGCCUUAGCUUGAGGGAUGAGGUGUUGUUUUCUAUUUGCUAAUAGUUUCUUUUUGAGUACGACGUAUAGGCAUAGUGACGAGUAUCUAUACGUUGGUAUCGAGCAUGACCGUGGGAUCUUAAAUUGAUAGUUGUUGUGUUCUUAAUUGAUACUACAAAAGUCUAAUUGAUGAUUCUUGAUAGUUAGCAAAGAAUUAGGUUAUCCUCGUGGACUUUAUUUAUGACUGAGUAUUGGUAUUAAUUGAGCUGAGUAGAAGUUGAGAUAAGAUUGGUUAUAGCUGACUCUCCCUUACCAGGAUGUUUGUUUUGAUAUUAUUGUUUCUCUUGCCGAGAAGUUAUCAUAUUGCUUCUGUUCCCUUGUCGGGAUUUCCUUUUGAUUUGGCGUUAGCCUAAAAUGGGAGCGGGUGGUACACCUACCACAAGAUAUUAUAAAAUGGGAGCGGGUGAGACACCUACCACAGUAUUUAAUGAAAUGGGAAAGAGUGGUACGCCUAUCACAAGAUUUAAUUAAAUGGGAGCGGGUGAUAUGCCUACCACAAGAUUCACUGAAACGGGAGCGGGUGGUACGCCUACCUCAAGAUUUAUUGAAAUGGGAGCGGGUGGUACGCCUACCACGAGAUAUGAGAAAUAGGAUCGGGUUGCACACCUGCAACAAAAUGUGUAAUGAACGUGAGAUCUGCCUUUAUUUUUACUUAUCCGUGUUAGAUAUUGAGGUGUUGGUUUCCUUCUUAUUUUCUUGAUAAUUUGUUUUAUCUGCUAUCCCCGAAGCAUGAUUCCCCUCCCCAGCUUUAAUUUGU